rnacentral:rRNA from 1 species
ACGCACGCUGGCGGCAGGCCUCACACAUGCAAGUCGAGCGCCCCGCAAGGGGAGCGGCGGACGGGUGAGUAACGCGUGGGCAUAUGCCCUUUGCUACGGAAUAGUCUCGGGAAACUGGGGGUAAUACCGUAUACGCCCUUUGGGGGAAAGAUUUAUCGGCGAAGGAUUAGCCCGCGUUGGAUUAGGUAGUUGGUGGGGUAAUGGCCUACCAAGCCGACGAUCCAUAGCUGGUUUGAGAGGAUGAUCAGCCACACUGGGACUGAGACACGGCCCAGACUCCUACGGGAGGCAGCAGUGGGGAAUCUUAGACAAUGGGGGCAACCCUGAUCUAGCCAUGCCGCGUGAGUGAUGAAGGCCUUAGGGUUGUAAAGCUCUUUCAGCUGGGAAGAUAAUGACGGUACCAGCAGAAGAAGCCCCGGCUAACUCCGUG